CGUCUUCUAAGACAUAUGGAGACAAAUUUGUAUGCCCUUAGAGACAGAAAAUGAAUGUCAUUCGGCAAGGGACCCUACUUGACUCAAAUCGUUGUGUCUUACUAUCUAUGAUUUUGGGCCUAUAAAUUUGUCCCCAUAUGUCUCAGGAGUAAGCCCAUGGGUCGAAACGGGUAGGAAUUUUAGCCCACAUGGUGCUGCGAGUAUACUACAGCACCCCAAUUUUGAGCCCUAAUCCAUUCAAGGGGCAAAAACUGUACUCUCUAUACUCUCGCUUCUCACCCUUUCUUAGCUGUAAUCAUCACAAUUCUCUACUCGCAGUCGCACUGCACAAGGUUGAGUACUUGGAUUGAGGGAACACACUUUACCUCAAUGGUUAUUGACCUUGAGCAUCCAUCAGGCGAUAAUCACAAGGAGAAAGAAGUCUGUGGGCCCCAUACACAUGUAAGAGGAGAACUCUGCGGUACAGAUGGAGCUACUGUCAGUUCUUUGAAGAGUGUUUGCCUGGACAUAGAGAAUGCAGGAACUAGUUGGAAUGAAAGAACAUCUAAUGGUGCACAUGUACUGUCAAAUGCAGAUUCUUUGGCUGUGAAUUGCUAUAGGAACUUGGAGCCUCAUGAUGGUAUGGAAUUUGACUCGAAGGAGGAUGCAUUUUCAUUUUACAAAGAAUAUGCUAAGUCCGUCGGAUUUUCCUCAAUAAUAAAGGCUAGCCGUCGAUCAAGAAUUUCUGGAAAAUUUAUUGAUGCAAAAUUUGUUUGCACUAGAUAUGGAAGUAAGCGAGAACCUUGUACUUCUGGUGUAGAACCUCUUCCAAGUGCCGAUGCAAUAGGAAGUAGUCCUGUGAGGAGAAAAAAAGGUAGAAUAAACAGGUCUUGGUCAAAAACAGAUUGUAAGGCUUGUUUGCAUGUAAAGAGAAGGUCUGAUGAAAGGUGGGUUAUUCGUACUUUUGUCAAAGAGCAUAAUCAUGAAACAUUUCCGGUUUGGACCAGCAACCUUCCAGGUCACAGGAACAUUGAUCUGGGUAAGAAUGGUGCAGAUGCAUUUCAUGCUACCCAUGGUAGGACGAAAAAGACUUGUGUGUCGAUAUCUAGGCAUUCUGGUGUUAUGAGGAAAGUUGAGAAGCAAAAUAAUGGUGGCACAAAUAGUAGUCCUCAAUCUUUGGCUUUAGAUGAGGAAGAUGCACAAGUUAUUCUUGAACAUUUUCUUUACAUGCAAGAUGAAAAUCCAAACUUCUUUUAUGCAAUGGAUUUGAAUCAAGAGCAACGCUUGAGAAAUGUCUUUUGGGUUGACGCUAAAUGUAGGCUCGACUAUGGUAACUUCAAUGACGUAGUUCUUUUUGACACUACCUAUAUAGCAAACGAAUAUAAGCUACAGUUCGUUCCUUUUAUUGGUGUCAAUCAUCAUUUUCAGUCCAUAUUGCUAGGGUGUGGGCUGAUUGCAGAUGAGAGUAAGUCGACAUUUGUUUGGUUGAUACGAGCAUGGCUUAGGGCAUUGGGUGGACAAGUUCCAAAAGUAAUUCUAACUGAUCAAGACAAAACAUUGAAAGAAGUUGUUGCCGAGGUUUUACCAGAUUCACGCCAUUGCUUUUGUUUGUGGCACGUACUGAGUAAGAUCCAGGAGAAGCUUGGUCAUGUCAUAAGGCAGCAUGAAAGUUUCCUCUCCAAAUUCAAUAAAUGUAUUUUGAGGUCAGUGACAAAUGAAUUGUUUGAAAAGAGGUGGUGUAAGGUGGUUGAUAGAUUUGAUUUAAGGAAUGACUUGUGGAUUAAAUCAUUGUACGAAGAUCGGCUAAGGUGGGUUCCAACAUACAUGAAUAAUAUCUUCUUGGCAGGAAUGUCUACGAUGCAACGAGCUGAAAGCGUUAGCUCUCUUCUAGAUAAGUGCAUAUUAUGCAAGACGACAUUGAAGGAGUUUCUUAACCAGUAUAACAAACUGCUGCAAGAGAAGUGUCAAGGAGAGGCAAACGCUGAUAUGGAGACAAGGCAUAAACAACCAGGACUGAAAUCUCCCUCCCCUUUCGAAAAACAGAUGGCAACGUUAUACACUCAUACAAUAUUCAGGAAAUUCCAAGUUGAGGUUUUGGGAGUGGUUGCUUGUCACCCUAAAAAGGAAAGUGAUGAUGGUGAAACUACCACAUAUAGAAUCCAAGAUUUUGAAGAAAAUCAAGAAUUCAUUGUCGUAUGGAAUGAGAAGACAUCUGAUACUUCAUGUUCUUGUCAUUUGUUCGAGUACAAUGGAUUCCUUUGUAGACACGUUAUGAUAGUUCUUCAAAUUGCUGGUGUGCAUAACAUUCCCUCUAAAUAUAUUUUAAGACGCUGGACUAAAGGUGCAAAGAGUAGAGAGAAGACGAGACAAGUAACUUUGGUUGAAUCCAGGGUUCAACGCUACAAUGAUCUAUGUCAAAGGGCAUUUGAGCUAGGUGAUGAAGGGUCUUUAUCUCAAGAGAGUUAUAGCAUUGCAUUCAGUGUGCUGGAAAAUUUUCUGAGAACAUGUGAAACCGUGAAUGAUCCAAAUUUAAAUGAAUCAGAAUCUUGUUCUCUCCCAAAUCAAUGCCUUAAUGACCUUGAAGUAUUCACAGAUAGUAACAAUCCAAGCAAGAGUAACAGAAAGAACAUAACAAGAAAAGAGAAGGUAUAUACGGAGCAGAAGAUAAUAUCCAUGGGACAAUCAGGUUUUGGAGAACCGACUGUUGAUUGUCUGUUUGAAUCAAAUUCAGCCAUGCAGCCAAUGGGCCAUAUAAAUUCCAGAAUUCCAAUUCCUGAUGGCUACUAUAGCAGCCCCCAAAUGAUUGAAGGAGUGGGACAAUUGAAUACAAAUACCCAAGGCUAUGUCAACCAACUAAACAUGCUGGGGCUGGGACAAUUGAAUACACUUGCUUCAAUUGAAGAUGGCCCUUAUCUCGCUCAACCUAGAUUGCAUGGACUGGGACAAUUGUAUUUUAGGCCUGUAGUUGCUCAAAGUUCUUUUGGGGAUCAGGACACUCUGCAAGAGUCUACCGUGGCCAAUACACAGAUGUUGUGCUUGGCAUCGGAGAACUUGCUCUCAAAGAAGUUAUCUUGACAACUACUGACACUGCAGUUCCUUGAUCAACUUCACCCUGUGGUAGUUUGUACAUAUAUGAGAUCAACAUGUGCGAUGAUUAUUCUGAUGUCUUUUGUUGCUUCCAUUACUUGACAAAGAUGACUGACAUGUAUUAUCUAAUCUGAAGUUUUACAUUGGAAGGGGAAUAGGAAGUUUGGAAGUGUAAAACUCCCUCAGAUCUAAUUUCACUAUUUAAAUACUACUGGUUUGGAGAAAUUACUUUGAGAUGUCUAAUAUAAAGUCCUCUUCUUUUCUUUUUUGGAAUAUAGCGAGCAUUAUAUCCACUGGACACUUCAAUUGUUAUUUUGUUUUUAAUUGUCACGAAAAAGGUAGGAAUAGUACAAAAACAGCAGGAUAUUUUUACAUACAUUACGUUACAUGACUGGCUAUAGAUUUUUUAUGUACAGAGUAGCUACUCUAAUGCUUCCUCAAAAUAGUCCCUCUUCAUGCCUCUUUAAGUGAGGAGUUUUCGUGUGCAGGAAGAAACUAACAAAGAGUUGCUGGAGAUGAUGUUACCUAGGUGCUGAAAAUUGUGUAUGAGCAGUCGAUCACUGACAAUAUACAUAGGAUCGAUAUUAAUGUACAUAGAUCUGUUGGAGAUGCAACAAUAUUCUAGGUAUCAAGGUUGAUAUUAGGAGAUACAUAUAGACUCAUCUACUCCUUGCUCAAAAUCCUCCAUCAAUAUCCCGCCCUUAGAUUGGUCCUGUAAAUAUUUUUGCAUUUGUUGAGCUCCAACUAGAAAUAGGGUCAAACUCAUAGUUUAAAUACAGAUCUUUCAUCUCUCUGCUUCUCAU